rnacentral:rRNA from 1 species
AUGUUCAUUCUCUUUCUCGUGAUAAUUCUGAAACUAUGGAAUUUGAUGAAUUCGGUUUUUCUGUUAAGGAUGCUCAUACUUGGAUGGUCCUGCACUGAUGUGACAACCCCGGAGAUUUGUACCCUGUCCAACCACCUUCAUCAUCAUCAUAUUCCGCUGGACCUAUUGCUCUCUCCGCCCGCAUUGACCUCUAGCACGCAUGCCUCGACCACCCUAGCUCCACCACUUUUCAUAAAAAAGUGCGAUGAUUUUCCUUUUUCUGUAAUAAAGCGGGUGCUCAUACUCGUGAAGCAUUUCGUGUUGAAAAACAUGUUCGCCUUCCAUUUAGUUCUUCUUCCACAAUUGCAUCUUUUCCAUUUCAGUUGA